rnacentral:rRNA from 1 species
UACGGAGGGUGCAAGCGUUAUCCGGAUUCACUGGGUUUAAAGGGUGCGUAGGUGGAAUGGUAAGUCAGUGGUGAAAUCUCCAAGCUUAACUUGGAACUGCCGUUGAUACUAUCAUUCUUGAAUAUCGUGGAGGUAAGCGGAAUAUGUCAUGUAGCGGUGAAAUGCUUAGAUAUGACAUAGAACACCGAUUGCGAAGGCAGCUUGCUACACGAUCAUUGACACUGAGGCACGAAAGCGUGGGGAUCAAACAGG